AACGUAGGCAUGGUCGACGCGGCUCAAAUUGUGGCAUCUCUUCUUAUCAGCUUAAUAUCUGUGCGGAUGUUAUUUGGACCCAUAAUCUUAAACCUAUUAUUGCAAGUCGGUGGAGUUCUUGAAGCCUGCUGCACUUCCGCCGCAGGUCUGCCCAUUAUUGCACUACCUCCGGGAUCGGGCCACAGUAU
rnacentral:snRNA from 1 species